rnacentral:autocatalytically_spliced_intron from 2 species
AAGAUAUAGUCCGAACUCUAGUGAGAAUUAG